rnacentral:rRNA from 1 species
GGGUCAGUAGGUCGGUCGUGCCUACGGUAUGUACUGGCCUUACUGAUUCCUCCCUCUUGACGAACUGUGAUGCCAUUAAUUUGGUGUUGCAGGGAAUCAGGACUGUUACUUUGAAAAAAUUAGAGUGUUUAAAGCAGGCUAACGCUUGAAUACAUUAGCAUGGAAUAAUGAAAUAGGACGUUCGAUCCUAUUUUGUUGGUUUCUAGGAUUGACGUA